rnacentral:rRNA from 1 species
GUGAACGCUGGCGGUAGGCCUAACACAUGCAAGUCGAACGGCAGCACAGUAAGAGCUUGCUCUUACGGGUGGCGAGUGGCGGACGGGUGAGGAAUACAUCGGAAUCUACUUUUUCGUGGGGGAUAACGUAGGGAAACUUACGCUAAUACCGCAUACGACCUACGGGUGAAAGCAGGGGAUCUUCGGACCUUGCGCGAUUGAAUGAGCCGAUGUCGGAUUAGCUAGUUGGCGGGGUAAAGGCCCACCAAGGCGACGAUCCGUAGCUGGUCUGAGAGGAUGAUCAGCCACACUGGAACUGAGACACGGUCCAGACUCCUACGGGAGGCAGCAGUGGGGAAUAUUGGACAAUGGGCGCAAGCCUGAUCCAGCCAUACCGCGUGGGUGAAGAAGGCCUUCGGGUUGUAAGGCCCUUUUGUUGGGAAAGAAAAGCAGCAGGUUAAUACCCCGCUGCUCUGACGGUACCCAAAGAAUAAGCACCGGCUAACUUCGUG